rnacentral:ncRNA from 2 species
UAGUUUUGCCGUGCUUUUGGUUCCGGGUGAAAACCCGGAUUAAAAGGGAAUCCGGUGUAAAUCCGGAACUGUCCCGCAGCUGUAAGCUCUUUAAAACCGAAGUCCAUUCUAAAGUCACUGUGUGUUUUGCGCAUGGGAAGACGGACCAGGGGAGCAAGUCAGAAUACCUGCCACCAGCAUUUACUAAUU